rnacentral:rRNA from 1 species
GCUAGCGACAGGCUUAACACAUGCAAGUCGAGGGUUCAGCGGGGGUAGCGAUACCCGCCGGCGACCGGCGCACGGGUGAGUAACGCGUAUGCAACUUGCCUAUCAGAGGGGGAUAACCCGGCGAAAGUCGGACUAAUACCGCAUGAAGCAGGGGCCCCGCAUGGGGAUAUUUGCUAAAGAUUCAUCGCUGAUAGAUAGGCAUGCGUUCCAUUAGGCAGUUGGCGGGGUAACGGCCCACCAAACCGACGAUGGAUAGGGGUUCUGAGAGGAAGGUCCCCCACAUUGGUACUGAGACACGGACCAAACUCCUACGGGAGGCAGCAGUGAGGAAUAUUGGUCAAUGGCCGAGAGGCUGAACCAGCCAAGUCGCGUGAGGGAUGAAGGUUCUAUGGAUCGUAAACCUCUUUUAUAAGGGAAUAAAGUGCGGGACGUGUCCCGUUUUGUAUGUACCUUAUGAAUAAGGAUCGGCUAACUCCGUGCCAGCAGCCGCGGUAAUACGGAGGAUCCGAGCGUUAUCCGGAUUUAUUGGGUUUAAAGGGUGCGUAGGCGGCCUUUUAAGUCAGCGGUGAAAGUCUGUGGCUCAACCAUAGAAUUGCCGUUGAAACUGGGGGGCUUGAGUAUGUUUGAGGCAGGCGGAAUGCGUGGUGUAGCGGUGAAAUGCAUAGAUAUCACGCAGAACCCCGAUUGCGAAGGCAGCCUGCCAAGCCAUUACUGACGCUGAUGCACGAAAGCGUGGGGAUCAAACAGGAUUAGAUACCCUGGUAGUCCACGCAGUAAACGAUGAUCACUAGCUGUUUGCGAUACACUGUAAGCGGCACAGCGAAAGCGUUAAGUGAUCCACCUGGGGAGUACGCCGGCAACGGUGAAACUCAAAGGAAUUGACGGGGGCCCGCACAAGCGGAGGAACAUGUGGUUUAAUUCGAUGAUACGCGAGGAACCUUACCCGGGUUUGAACGCAUUCGGACCGAGGUGGAAACACCUUUUCUAGCAAUAGCCGUUUGCGAGGUGCUGCAUGGUUGUCGUCAGCUCGUGCCGUGAGGUGUCGGCUUAAGUGCCAUAACGAGCGCAACCCUUGCCACUAGUUACUAACAGGUAAAGCUGAGGACUCUGGUGGGACUGCCAGCGUAAGCUGCGAGGAAGGCGGGGAUGACGUCAAAUCAGCACGGCCCUUACAUCCGGGGCGACACACGUGUUACAAUGGCGUGGACAAAGGGAAGCCACCUGGCGACAGGGAGCGAAUCCCCAAACCACGUCUCAGUUCGGAUCGGAGUCUGCAACCCGACUCCGCGAAGCUGGAUUCGCUAGUAAUCGCGCAUCAGCCAUGGUGCGGUGAAUACGUUCCCGGGCCUUGUACACACCGCCCGUCAAGCCAUGGGAGCCGGGGGUACCUGAAGUCCGUAACCGAAAGGAUCGGCCUAGGGUAAAACUGGU